CGAGCGGAAGGCCACUUCGGUGGUACUCGAGCGGCGAACGGGUGAGUAACACGUGAGUAAUCUGCCCCUGGCUUUGGGAUAGCCACCGGAAACGGUGAUUAAUACCGGAUAUGACCACUUCUCGCAUGGGAUGGUGGUGGAAAGUUUUUCGGCCAGGGAUGUGCUCGCGGCCUAUCAGCUUGAUGGUGAGGUAAUGGCUCACCAUGGCUUCGACGGGUAGCCGGCCUGAGAGGGUGACCGGUCACACUGGGACUGAGACACGGCCCAGACUCCUACGGGAGGCAGCAGUGGGGAAUAUUGGACAAUGGGCGGAAGCCUGAUCCAGCAACGCCGCGUGAGGGAUGACGGCCUUCGGGUUGUAAACCUCUUUCAGCAGGGACGAAGCGCAAGUGACGGUACCUGCAGAAGAAGCACCGGCCAACUACGUGCCAGCAGCCGCGGUAAUACGUAGGGUGCGAGCGUUGUCCGGAAUUAUUGGGCGUAAAGGGCUCGUAGGCGGUUUGUCGCGUCGGGAGUGAAAACGCCGUGCUUAACACGGCGCUUGCUUUCGAUACGGGCAGACUAGAGGUAUUCAGGGGAGAACGGAAUUCCUGGUGUAGCGGUGAAAUGCGCAGAUAUCAGAGGAACACCGGUGCGAAAGCGGUUCUCUGGGAAUGACCUGACGCUAGGAGCGAAAGUGUGGGGAGCGAACAGGAUUAGAUACCCUGGU
rnacentral:rRNA from 1 species